rnacentral:rRNA from 1 species
GAGGAAAAGAAAUCAACCGAGAUUCCCCCAGUAGCGGCGAGCGAACGGGGAGCAGCCCAGAGCCUGAAUCAGUAUGUGUGUUAGUGGAAGCGUCUGGAAAGGCGCGCGAUACAGGGUGACAGCCCCGUACACAAAAAUGCACAUGCUGUGAGCUCGAUGAGUAGGGCGGGACACGUGGUAUCCUGUCUGAAUAUGGGGGGACCAUCCUCCAAGGCUAAAUACUCCUGACUGACCGAUAGUGAACCAGUACCGUGAGGGAAAGGCGAAAAGAACCCCGGCGAGGGGAGUGAAAAAGAACCUGAAACCGUGUACGUACAAGCAGUGGGAGCACGCUUAGGCGUGUGACUGCGUACCUUUUGUAUAAUGGGUCAGCGACUUAUAUUCUGUAGCAAGGUUAACCGAAUAGGGGAGCCGAAGGGAAACCGAGUCUUAACUGGGCGUUAAGUUGCAGGGUAUAGACCCGAAACCCGGUGAUCUAGCCAUGGGCAGGUUGAAGGUUGGGUAACACUAACUGGAGGACCGAACCGACUAAUGUUGAAAAAUUAGCGGAUGACUUGUGGCUGGGGGUGAAAGGCCAAUCAAACCGGGAGAUAGCUGGUUCUCCCCGAAAGCUAUUUAGGUAGCGCCUCGUGAAUUCAUCUCCGGGGGUAGAGCACUGUUUCGGCAAGGGGGUCAUCCCGACUUACCAACCCGAUGCAAACUGCGAAUACCGGAGAAUGUUAUCACGGGAGACACACGGCGGGUGCUAACGUCCGUCGUGAAGAGGGAAACAACCCAGACCGCCAGCUAAGGUCCCAAAGUCAUGGUUAAGUGGGAAACGAUGUGGGAAGGCCCAGACAGCCAGGAUGUUGGCUUAGAAGCAGCCAUCAUUUAAAGAAAGCGUAAUAGCUCACUGGUCGAGUCGGCCUGCGCGGAAGAUGUAACGGGGCUAAACCAUGCACCGAAGCUGCGGCAGCGACGCUGAUGCGUUGUUGGGUAGGGGAGCGUUCUGUAAGCCUGCGAAGGUGUGCUGUGAGGCAUGCUGGAGGUAUCAGAAGUGCGAAUGCUGACAUAAGUAACGAUAAAGCGGGUGAAAAGCCCGCUCGCCGGAAGACCAAGGGUUCCUGUCCAACGUUAAUCGGGGCAGGGUGAGUCGACCCCUAAGGCGAGGCCGAAAGGCGUAGUCGAUGGGAAACAGGUUAAUAUUCCUGUACUUGGUGUUACUGCGAAGGGGGGACGGAGAAGGCUAUGUUGGCCGGGCGACGGUUGUCCCGGUUUAAGCGUGUAGGCUGGUUUUCCAGGCAAAUCCGGAAAAUCAAGGCUGAGGCGUGAUGACGAGGCACU